AAUCAACGCUGGCGGCGUGCCUCAGACAUGCAAGUCGAACGCGAAAGUCCCCUUCGGGGGACAAGUAGAGUGGCGCACGGGUGAGUAACACGUAGGUAAUCUACCUUCGGGCGGGGAAUAACAAUCGGAAACGGUUGCUAAUACCGCAUAAUGCAGCGGCACCUAAUGGUGACAGUUGUUAAAGCGGGGGAUCGCAAGACCUCGCACCUGAAGAGGAGCCUGCGGCGGAUUAGCUAGNGGUAGGGUAACAGCCUACCAAGGCGACGAUCCGUAGCCGGCCUGAGAGGGCGGCCGGCCACACUGACACUGACAUACGGGUCAGACUCCUACGGGAGGCAGCAGUCGGGAAUUUUGGGCAAUGGGCGAAAGCCU
rnacentral:rRNA from 1 species